rnacentral:misc_RNA from 1 species
GCGGGCUCAGUCGGCCCGCGGCGCUCACUGUGAUCGGAAACUCCCAGAGGUGCAGCUUCGGUGGCCGGCUAUGGACCUGUGCGCACUCUGCUCCAUUCUGCUAUGGGGUUUCGUCGCUGCGCUGAGUACCGCGCUUCCUCUGGCACUACUGGACAUACAGCGACGAGGAUAUUCCAAGGCACUGACCUGGACACAGCUACUUAAAUUGUACGUUUUACUCAAGCUUGGCGAUAUCAAAACGUACCGGCUGCAUCGCAAGUUUGAAAGAGAUGUUCGUCAAUUUGAAAAGGCGCAGUCCGAGUUCCUUCUGGAGAGGAUACGGCGCUGCAAAAACACAGCCUUCGGACGAGAUUAUCAUCUCCCCUCCUACAAAACCGUCGACGAAUUUCGACGCAACUUCCCUGUGUGUGACUUCUCAAAAGUUGAAGAGUACAUAAACCGCAUGGCGAAUGGAGAAAAGAACGCAUUUCUCGGCGAUGAGGACGAGCUAGUUUUGUUCUCGGCGUCCUCCGGAACGACGGGCAAGAACAAAUUGAUACCGGUAACAGUUGAGGGGGCGAAGAGUCUUCAGGAUCAGGUCCUGUUCGGCGCCUAUCAGUGGGCCCUUCGUGAGCGGUUCCCGUGGGACCUGACGAGGAUGUUGACCGUAAAAAACAGUCCCCUCGUUCACAAGCCAACUAAGGCCGGUCACAAGGUGGGUGUCGUCUCCAGUGUUAUCUACUCCAAGCUAAAUGAGAUGACCACGCUGCUGACAACAACGCCGCCACUUAGUCUGCCAAUGAAGAACGAGUCUGUGUGUAACUACAUCCACGCUUUGUUCGGCCUUCGGGACAAGCACAUCUCUAUGAUCCGGAACGGAUACAUCUUCCAGUUUCUGACUCUGAUUCGUGGCAUUAAGAUGAACCAGAAGAGCCUCGUUGAAGAUAUACGCAGAGGACAGAUCAAAGAGGAUCUAGACAUCGAUGAAAAACUUCGCUCCGAAAUCAACGCCCACCUUUCUCCGAUGCCCGAAAGAGCAGCAGAGCUUGAGAAGGAAUUCGCCAAAGGUUUCGACGGCCUGAUUCAGAGAGUCUGGCCGAAAGUGACCCGUAUCAGCGGCAUCUGGUCGGGAAACACGAACGCCAUGUACUACAAAGAGGCCCGAGCCGUGCUGGGUCCCAACAUUCCCGUCUUCAGCUUCUCGCUGAUGGCCUCCGAGGGUUUUCUGGGCGCCAAUCUCGAGCUGACCCGACCCGGACCACCGCGUUACACGCUCAUCCCUGACGCGGUGUACUACGAGUUUCUGCCGAUCGUGGGAGACCACAUCCCCGAGCUGGCAGACAUCCGGCCGCAGGACCUGCUGCUCGGCCACCAGCUGGAGGUCGGAAAGGAGUACGAGAUGUUCAUCACGAACCCGUCUGGGCUGUUCCGCUACCGUCUAGGCGACGUCGUCAGGGUGGCGGGGUUCUACCAGCAGGCGCCGCAAGUGGAGUUCCUCUACAGGUCAGGUCAACUUCUGAACGUCUGUGGCGAGAAAAUGAUCGAGGAUGUGUUCUUUCGCGCGCUGGAGGACGCGGCUAAGCGCUGGCCGUCCACCCUGAAGGACUACACGGUGGCUAGCAGUCAGUUGGGACCGGCUGACCAGCACGAGCUCAGUCGCCGGUACCUGCUGUUCCUCGAGCUGGAGGGGGAACCACUGACAGCGGAGCAGGUGGUGCUGGUGGACCGGACACUUCAGGAGCAGUGCGAGGAGUACCGCGUGUUCCGGAGCACAGGCCGGCUGGGCGAGAUGGCCGUGUACCAGAUGCCGGCCGGCACGUUCGCCCGCUUCCAGGACCACCUGGUGAAGACCACGGCCGUCUCGGCGGCCCAGUUCAAGAUGCCGCGUGUGCUGAAGAGCGCCGACCGCGUGCAGUGGUUCAUGGAGAAUGUCAGGGCGUAGACGAGGCUAUGGUUUUGUGCCAUGUGGCUGUGAUCCGUGUAUAAUGUUAAUUACAGUGCUAUCGAUAGGUAUUGCGUAAGUUACGUCAAUGGGAACCAAAGUUGCAACUUAUAUGUAUACAAUGUUUGAUAUGUUAUAGUUCGUCCAAAGGAAGCAAAGAUUCGUCAGUGAUGAAGGUCAUAGGGCAAGGUCAGUGAUGAAAAGUGCUCAAAAUGAAAGCAGACAUUCGGCUAAAAUAUGGCAAAGCACAGACGACGGAAGCUUCAUAAAAUGCCCAUGAGAUAUUAAGGCUUGGUACAAAACAAGUUAAGCUUUAGAGUUAAAUGUGCCAAUGUAUUUUUGUGUGAUAUCAAUGUUGCAAUC